rnacentral:rRNA from 1 species
UGGGGGAUAUUGCACAAUGGGCGAAAGCCUGAUGCAGCGACGCCGCGUGGGGGAUGAAGGCUUUCGGGUUGUAAACCUCUUUCGCUAUCGAACAAGGCCCGCUUAGGGUGGGUUGAGGGUAGGUGGAGACGAAGCGCCGGCUAACUACGUGCCAGCAGCCGCGGUAAUACGUAGGGCGCGAGCGUUUUCCGGAAUUAUUGGGCGUAAAGGGCUUGUAGGCGGCUUGUUGCGCCUGCUGUGAAAACGCGGGGCUUAACUUCGCGCGUGCAGUGGGUACGGGCAGGCUUGAGUGUGGUAGGGGUGACUGGAAUUCCAGGUGUAGCGGUGGGAUGCGCAGAUAUCUGGAGGAACACCGAUGGCGAAGGCAGGUCACUGGGCCAUUACUGACGCUGAGGAGCGAAAGCAUGGGUAGCGAACAGG